GAGAGAUGAACCUGUUGGGCGGCUUCGGAGGCGAGGAGGAAGUCAUGGUUGAUGGAGAGAGAGCGCUUCUUGAUGGUGGAUCGGAGGUUGCGGCGGGCAUGGAGGUUGUUAUCGGCGUGGAAGUCGGAUAGUGUGCUCAACGACGCCACCAGAUCCGGCAUGUCUGUACGCGUUUACAACACCUUAUUCAGCUUCCUUGAAAUCCUAGCGCUAGUGUACUCGUAGUCCUCAUUUUCGUAUAUAUAUAAGUGCACUGAACUCAGCUGAUCUCUAGAUUUCUUCUUCUUCGAUCUGAUUAUGAUCUCUCUCUGAGUGUCUCUCUUAAAAUGUCCUUCGAUCAGAUUUUGAUCCCUCUCUCUCUCCGUCUACUCACUCUCUCUAGCGGCUCGUUAACCGUUGUUUCUGGCAAUGUUUUGAAAAUCGAACCGUUAAGCUAAUGAAUAAGAUACCGUGUUAUGGGUUACUGGUUCAAUUGGCGGUCAAUGUUUUUAACUUUUGAUGCCAUAAUUAUUUCACUAAUUUAUUUAUUAAUAGUAAUAAAAUAUUUUUUACUUUUUUACACUAAUUUUUAUACUUAAAAUCUAAAAUUUUUAUUAAAACAAUGAACCCAACGGUCUAAUGACCGGUUCAAUCGACUGGGUAGCGAUUCUUACUAAGUUUGACUGAAUUUUGACCAAAACAAGCUUUAAAUAAAAACUUGACCAUUUCUUCGACUGAUCAUCGAUUCAAUAUUCAAUUUGGGUUUUAAAACAUUAGUUUCUGGUACUAGACUGCAAAAAGAAUUACUGGACUAGGCCAAUAGAACUAUAGGAGGCGUAUGAACAUGGCCCAUGUGAGAGGCCCAAUCCAUUUUUGGGACUAAUGAGGGCCCAUACUUUCACAUCCUUUCCAGCCCAUACUUCCUCACAACACACAUAAAAAAAUUAUUUCUGGCUGAUUCGGGCUGGGCCAGCCAGCCUGUUCAGGUCGAGACCAGCCAAUCCAUCGGUUGAGUGAUCCCUCGCUAGGUCACAUAAAGCGCGAGCAACCUUGAGAGCGAAAGCAUCUACGUUAUAAAAUUUUUUAAUCAAAAUAUAGUCAUAUAUUUUGAGAGCGGGAGCGGAGUCUCGAUAGAAAGAUUAUGUGACCUAAAUCCCACGAGACAAGCUGGGUAACGCGUUUGGCAUUGAUGAGAAAUAGACACAAUAGAGGGAGAAGAAAAACGCGUAAGGGAGACGCUGCAUAUGGAUGGAUCAAUUUCGUCCUAUGGCAUUGAUGAGAAAUAGACAAAAGGGAGAAGAAAAACGUGUGAAAGAGAGUGUUGCAUACGCAGGGAGUUAAUUUCAUCAUUUCGUUUGAAGGAUUCCAUGGCAUUGAUAGUAAAAGUUUUGAGUACCAGUGUAGAACUAGCCGACCAGUCUGCAGUUUAUGAAGCUAGUUUGUUGUAACACAACUGAGUGAUCAUUAUUUGCUUCUUUCUUGUCUUUCUAUUUGUUUAUGUUUUGGUAUAGAACCAAUGCGUGAACUAGAAAACAUCACACUGUUAGAUGAUAUAGAUUAUAUUUAUGUUUCUUUUAUUUUGUUAUUAGAAGUAAGGGUAGAAUAUAAUUGAUUACCUUUGUUAGUAGGUUAUUUAAACUCUUUUAUCUUUCUUGGAUGAUUAAUUCUAAAUUCUAUGAAACCCUAGCCUCCUUUUUCUCUAUGUUCUUGGUAUUCGCACAUGGUAUCAGAGCAUUGAUCCUGAUGGGCUUCGCAUCCUAUAUUGCAACGGAAAGGAAGUUUUAAUCUCAUUCACAGCUUUUGCGGAUCCAAAUUUUUUUUCGGGUAACAUUGUUUUUUUUUUAGAUCGUAGUUAUCAGUUACAGUUUUUUAUUCAUCUCUCUGUUUUUUUUUUCUCCUACUCUGCUUAGUUGAUUGGGAUUCCCUAUUAUUCUUAUUUUUUUUACGCAAUGGCUGUUUGAACGGGAGAUUUCACUUCAGGCUACAGCACGAGAUUGGAUGGAAAGAAUUAUCGUAUUGGAGUUAUGUUAUGAAGAAUUUUUGAAAGGAAAAAAAUGUGGGGGUAUGUUGUGGGCACCAUGGUCAACCUACAGAUCUCGAUUAUGAAAAAUUUGCAAAGAAGUUAGAAGUUUGGAAUGUCAAUAAUUCAAAAUCAUCACUUGGAUCAACAACUCUGUUGAGCACUCCAUCGGCACACCAUUGGCAAAGUAUGAAACAGCAAAAAAAUUUGGGAUCACUUGAAGAGGCUGUAUACACAUCUAAUUUGCAAAGCGUACCAAUUGAAUCUGAUAUUCGAGCUCUUGUUCAGAAAACUAUGGGUAUUCAAGAAUUUUAUUCUGCAAUGUCUGAUCUUUGGGACCAAUUGCACUAACAGAAUCUGCUGAAUUAACAGGGUUUGCACCAUACAUGCUCGGAGAGAGGAACAACGACUUGUGCAGUUUCUUUGCUCUUCGUGAUGAUUUUGAGGGUCUUCGUGGUUCAAUUUUGGCAUCGGCAACCACUUCCUUCGGUAAGAUUCAGUGGUCAGUGAGCUUUUAGCAGAGGCGAUUCGGCUUAAGUUCAGUCAUCCAACAAGGGCAUGCUUCCAGCACCGAAUUCAUCUGUUUUUGUAGUACCUAAUCGACCACCUUCUAGUUCUCCAUCAAGGCCAAAGGUUGGAUUUGAUGAUGCAGUUUUUGUAAGCGAAGGGUUCACUGGAGAUCCAAUGUCCCAUGUUACUUAAUGCGAGCUCAAAAAAAAAAAAAAAAAUUCCGUCUCAAUAAACAAAGGAGUUCGGGCAAACCAGUCCCAACAACAUGCAUACAGGCCUCCCCAGUCUAAUAAUGCAGCAACGUCCCCACCAUCAACCUUAUCUGGUUUUUGGAUCUCCACCGUCUUCCAAUCCACAUGGCGCUCUUGCUGAGCAGUUCCAGUAGUUCUUACACACUCACCAGCUGCUAUGUCUGCCUCAGCCUCUUUUCGGUUUGUCUUCUCCUAGUUUUUCCUCAGGUAUGUUUUCGUCCUUUGUGGGUUUUAGACUCUGCGCCUCUCCUCCAUGUCACCAGACUCGUCUGUUUUUACUUCAUUGUCCCUCUUGCAUCACCUGUAUCUGUCAUGACUGCUGAUGGAACCCCUAUGCCAUUAGGCGGGUGUAGGGUCUGUAAUUGCAACUAAUAGCUCUCUUUCUAACGUGUAUCAUAUUCCUAGUCUUUCCUUAAAUCUUGUUUCGUUAGUCCAAUUGUGUAACCUUGUUUUUGGUCUCUUUUUCUCACUUCUGUCAGGGUGCAGGACUCGCAACCCCAGAAGCUGAUUGUAACGGCCCUAGGCAGGGGAUUCUAUAUCUUGGACCAACUGAGUUUACCUGCAGUUGCUGCUACUGGUGUCGAUUUGUCAUCUUUUCGUUUGGAGUCAUUCUUCUUCUAGUUUUUAUUUAUGGCAUUCUGUCUAGGUCAUGUCUCUCUUCUCGUUUAAAGUAUUUAGCAUCUACCGGAGCCUUAGGUAAUUUGUCAGCACAUGAUAUUUCACUUGCACUGGGUGUAAACUGCAAAAUUUUUUUGCCCUACCUUUUAAUAGAAGUUCUCUUAUGUCUCUUGCACCUUUGAUUAGUUCAUUCUGCGUGUGGGACUUUGCCUAUUGCUACCAAGGCGGAUCUCAUUAGUAUGUUUCUUUUAUUGAUGAUUACACUCGUUAUUGUUGGGUUAUCUUAUGCAAAUAAUUCGAUUUUGGGUAUUUUAAUAAAUCUUUUCGUGCUCGCGUGAAAACACAACAUUCGGCUAUUAUCAAAUGUUUUUGGUGUGAUUUGGGUGGUGCAUAUACUUCCAAUUAAUUUUCGAGUUGCUUGCUUUAGAUGGAACUAUUCAUCAAUCCUCUUGGUAGCUGAUACUCAGAGCAAAAUGGUGUGGCUGAAAGGAAACUAGGCAUAAUUGUUGAAACUGUCGGUCCUCCUCUACGUCUGCUUUGGUUCCUAUUACUUUUUGGGCGAACAGUUUCUCACUGCGUGCUCGGGUCAUUAAUAUGAUCCCAUCAUCUCAUAUUCAGGCAUGUCCCUCCUUUUGAAAAAUUGUAUGGUCGUCCCUCAAAUUAUUCUUUUUAAGAGUUUUUUGGUUUGCUGUUUUUGUGCUUCGUCUCAUGUUAACGUAGUAAGUUGUCUUCUCGUUCUGCCUUUGUGUUGUUCUUUGAUAUGGUGGAGGGUCAAAAGGAUAUCGUUGUUUUGAUCCUGUUACUCUAAAUUAUAUGUGUCCCGUCAUGUUUGUGUCCUUGACAUAUACCUUUCUUCUCUCUUCCCUGAUAGUAUUCAUAACUUGACUAAAUCUGAUCUCAUUCGCAUUGACCCUUUCUGAGAACAGAUAAGUGUUCACCCCAUCUCCAUCCCCUACAUACAUUGGUAUUUCCGCAUCUGAUUCUCCGAUCACAUCCCCCGCUGUAACCUACACCAGCAACAUCGGAUUAUGAAUCCUCCUCAGCCUUUGCCUACCCAGGAACUUCUGAGAUUGUGGUCCUCUUCCUCGGCUAUCUAAGCGCAUUCGUAGUCUACUAAGUUGCCAGAUUGUUUCUAUUCUUGUUAUUCUAGUUCUUUUGCUUCUUUCUUAGUCCACUAUUCACAAUCUUUCUGAGCCUCUAUCAUUAAAUAGCUGUUCUUGACCCUCUUUGGCAAGCAGGCUAUGACUGAGGAACUUUCUACUUUGCAUAACACGGUACUUGGGAUUUGUACCUACCAUCUGGUAAAGAGUAAAAUUGGUUCUCGGUGGGUCACAAAUAAAACCAAGGCUGAUGGUUUUAUGAGCGAUACAAGGCUCGUUGGUCGCCAAAGGUUUUCUCACAGUAUGUAGGGAUUAUGAAGAGACUUUUGCUCCAGUUGCAAAAAGACUACUAUUCGUACAUCUUAUGCAGUUGCAUCUAUUCGUCAGUGGCAUAUUUCUCAAAUGAUGUUAAGAAUGCCUUCUUGAAUGGCGAUCUUCAGAAGAAGUUUUAUAUACUCCCCCACCUGGUUUUGCCCACAAUUUUGGGAAGUUUUGUAAGCUUAAAAAGGCGUUAUAUGGUCUCAAGCAGGCACCCCGUGCUUGGUUUUGAAAAAUUCUCACUGUGAUUACCUCUCUUGGUUUUCGAUACCCCAGCAAUCAUGAUUCUGCUCUUUUUAUAACAGGUCACUACUGCUGGUCGUAUUCUUCUUUCAUUAUAGUUUGAUGACAUUGGUGAUUACAGGUGAUGAGGGGUCUGAAUUGCCGAUUGAAAUUACAAUUGACUUCUUCGAUUUGAAAUGAAGAUUUGGGACUGCUACGUUAUUUUUUGGGCCUAGAAUGUCCUUUUCACCUAAGGGUUAUCUACUUUCACAUCUCCCCCCUAGUAUAUUGCAGACAUUCUUGAGCAUGCUCCGUCUUCUGAAAUAAGACUGUCCAGACUCCUCUUGAAACUAAUGUUCGGUAUUCCUCCCGACUGAUGGUACUCCUUUUCCGAUCCUCUUUUAUAUCGUACUAUUGUUGGAGUUGGUCCUAUCUCACUAUUACUCGCCCAUACUUGCAUACUGUUUGUUCCUAUGUUAUCAGUUUGUUUACGUCUCCGACACUAUUUCUUGGGCUUUCGUCCUUCGGAUUGAGGACCUACAUGGUACUCAAUUUCAAAGUCUUUACUACCUUCCCUUCAUCUUACAAUUGCGUGCAUAUUCUGAUGCAUAUGUGGGCUAGUGAUCCUGUUGAUCGCAAAUCUACCACUGGAUUUCUGUUCUUUUUGGGUGAGUCUCCUUAUUUCCUUCUGGAGAGUAAAAGCAGUCUGUUGUUUCAAAAUCUUCAACAGAAGCUGAGUAUCGUGCGUAUGGCCCUCUACUUACAACAAAGAAAAUUUUAGUUUGGUUACGGUGGUACUGGCUGACAUGGGUGUUUUCUAUUUUUUCUCCCACUCCUAUGUUUGUGACCAUAAAAGUGCUAUACAGUUGCCUAUAAUUCUGUUUUCCAUGAGCGAACCAAGCAUUCGAGAUUGAUGUCAUCCUUACUCGUCAUCAUUUGCAGCAUGGCACCAGUAGUGUGCCCUUUUGUCUCUUCAUCUAUUUCAGCUUGCUGAUUUGUUUACCAAGUCCAUCCGCUUUCCGCGCUUUCGUUUUUUGUUUGGCAACGCUCGAUACUGUUACGACUGGAUCGUAGUUUGAGGGGGGCUGUUAGAUUAUAUAGAUUAUAUUUAUGUUAUUUAUUUUGUUAUUAUAAGUAAGGGUAGAAUAUUAAUUUAUUACCUUUGUUAUUAGGGUUAUUUUAAAACUCUUUUAUCUUUCUUGGUGAUUAUUCUAAAUCCGAUGAACCCCUAGCCGCCUUUUUCUUUUUUAUAUGUUUGGUAUUCUCACACACACUACUCGAGCGCCGUAAAUGGGACAAUCCACGUUGCUGUUGGCAGAGCAGGGAGUCCCGAUCAAUUAUCGGCUGGGGAUCCCCUGUCCCAUUUUCUCUGUCCCAGCCCCCUGUCCCACCUCUCAAUGGAUGACACAUGUCCAAAUGUAAUUUAUCAGGAAAGAUUUUGUAAUUAGGUAAAUUAUAUUUGAACACGUUCAUUAGGGGCUGGGACAGAAAAAAUGGGACAGGAGAUCCGGACUCUCGAUUACCACCUGGUGUCUCUACAAAGACCACGAGAAAAUCAGUGAUGGAAAGGUCUAUGAUUCCUUCCCCAUCUCAAGGGACUACAGUCUACAGAGAUGUCCUAGCCCGUGUGCCUGAUGGCCGGUUGUGAACCAACCACUUUAGCAUCAUGAGCAGGCCAGAUUUACACAUUCUUUAGAGAAAACCAUGUAGUGGUUUAUUUUUAUUUUUAUUUAUGUUUUUUGCUUCCCAGAAAAUUAGGCUUUUAUUACUGCAGUUGUCCUAUAAAUAUGUUGAGCUGAUACAAAAGAAAAUUUGAU
rnacentral:lncRNA from 1 species